AGGUGUAGCCUGAUCAAUGGAAUACACCACAGCUGCGGAUGAACUGGGUGGUCAGUAGGCAGUUAGGUUGUGGUUACAGAUAACAGAUCACCGGGGUCAGGCUUUGGGGUUUGUAUUUUGUCUGUGGUGAGCGGAGUCCCUGCUUCCUGGAGGCCAUGCCCUGAGCGGCUGUCCUUCCCAAGUCCUUCCACCAGGAUGCCCUGCCUCACCGCGGGCCAGGGCUGUGGAGUCAAUCGACCGUGGACCGAACCCUGAACCUGGGAGCCGGAGCAAACUUCUGCACCCUUAAGGAGUUCUUGUCGGGUCUUCUGGCCACAGUGACAAGGACCUGAGCAAAGUGGGCACCGCCCGUCUGCCUCUCCUGCCGUCAGGACUCAAAUGGAUCCUGGGGGCCAGGCCUCCAGCUGCUCCUCGGCACCUCUCCUCUGGGCUUCCCAGUGUUCCGUCAGGCCACAGGACUCUGAGGAGCCUGCCAACAGAGACGCACAGGGACCCGCCGGCCCCAGCCCCAGUGUGCGUCCUGAAGCUUCGAAGGUAGCCUGUGUCAGGCACCUCACUGCAGUGGCAGAAAGCUGACUCAUCAGAGCGCGUCUCUGCCUCGUGUCUGGCGUGAGCCUGUGCUGUGCAGUCCACUCUACGUGUGGUGAACUGUCGUGCUGGCUGUGCAGGUUCUGCAGACGUCCUUUAUCAGGGGGACAUCGUUCUCCUCUGAGGGUGACGAAAGUUUUACCUCGAAUGGAUAUUUCUAAACCAACGGAUAUGAUCAUGUGAUCUCGUGUUGUGUAGACUACUACCUUGGGGGGUUCCAUUCAUUGAUUUUUGAAAGUUAAAUCAGGAUGGCAUACCUAGGUAAAUCCCACUUGUUCUCGAUGUAUCAUCUUUAUUAAAUAUUUCUAGAUAAUGUUUGCUAAUAUUUGGGGGUGGUAUAGUUAAGUUCAUAAGAGAGCUUGCUCUGUGAUCCUCCUUUUAAGUAAUGGCUUUAUUUGGUUUUAUAACUAGGAUGAGAUUUGUGUCAGAGAAUGAGUUGGAAAGUGUUUCUGUUUGUAUUUAUGGAAGACACCUUGAAGUGUGUCAUCUUCUUUUAAUGUUUGGUAGAAUUCACUACAAAAUUAUUUGAA